AAAUCCCUAAAAUAUUCGCCAAGUUCCCUAUUGGCGCCCGACAGUCAAGGUCUAGCUGUUGGACCUCCUGUUGACCAUCAACGGAACUAUCAUUGAGGACUAUGACUUUGCCGUUAAGCUGUUUAUUGCCAUUGAAAGGACAAGGACUCG